GCGGGGAGGAAGCGGCUGGGGCUGCCCGGUCUCGCCGGCGCUUUGGAGGCGGAGGGAGAGGAGCUUCCAGGGGGGGGGGGUGUUAUUUGGGCUCCGGUCCAUUGAAAUCCGGCUGCGUGUCAUCCAAGCGGCCUUUCUCCCCCCGCAACUGAGAUCGAAAAGACCGAGUCCUCCAAGGCGACCUCUUCUUCUUGAACGCUUCCCUGGGGUUGGAGGACGGGCGGCUGGGAAAAGGGCAGCUGGACGCUCGCUCUGGCGCAGAGCUCGACCCGCAGCUGAGCCGGCCCGUCCCCUCCUUCCUCCCCGCUUCCUUCGGGGAUCCUCCUCCUCCUCCUCUUCGGCUGGCUUAAUGGGGGUUUUGUGCAUCAGCCAGCGGUUCCUCCGAGCACCGCGGAUGGCGGGACUUCGUUCUGCAGACGUUUCUGCUUUUUCCUGCUCUGGGAUCCGGCUCCCUGGGCCACAGCAGAGGCCUUUGCAACGCCUGGGCGCCGAGGGAAGAGCGGCGUUUUGCAUCCUGUUUUCCCAAUCGUAAAUAUUUUCUGCUUAUGACAUGCGUUCAGAAGCUGGCCCUUUCCCAGACGAGACCACCGUACCGAUUGCAAAGGAGGCCUAAGUGGAAUCGGCGGCUGGGAAACGGGAGAGUCGCGUCGAGUCAUUUUGAUGGCAUCGUUGGAGGACUUUAUCCCGGGAAGUUUUAUUGCUGAUGCACAAUUUUGAAACAAUUUCUUCUUUUUUUCUUUUAAAAAGCAUGCAAGUCUGGAAACAUUUUCAGAUAAUUUCAAAAUUGACUCUCAUUAUGUUCUAAAGAUGAAU